rnacentral:tRNA from 1 species
ACUCUGUUAGCUCAAUAGGAUAGAGCAAUGACCUCCUAAGUCAUCGAUACUGGUUCGAUUCCGGUACAGAGUGCCA